UACGUAGGUGGCAAGCGUUGUCCGGAGUUAUUGGGCGUAAAGGGCGCGUAGGCGGCCAUGCGUGUCUUCCGUGAAAUCCCUCGGCUUAACUGAGGACGUGCGGAAGAAACUGCAAGGCUCGAGUCCGGGAGAGGAGGGUGGAAUUCCCAGUGUAGCGGUGAAAUGCGUAGAUAUUGGGAGGAACACCGGUGGCGAAGGCGGCCCUCUGGACCGGUACUGACGCUGAUGCGCGAAAGCGUGGGUAGCAAACGGG
rnacentral:rRNA from 1 species